rnacentral:rRNA from 1 species
AUUGAACGCUGGCGGCAUGCCUUACACAUGCAAGUCGAACGGCAGCAUGAUCUAGCUUGCUAGAUUGAUGGCGAGUGGCGAACGGGUGAGUAAUACAUCGGAACGUGCCCUGUAGUGGGGGAUAACUAGUCGAAAGAUUAGCUAAUACCGCAUACGACCUGAGGGUGAAAGUGGGGGACCGCAAGGCCUCAUGCUAUAGGAGCGGCCGAUGUCUGAUUAGCUAGUUGGUGAGGUAAAGGCUCACCAAGGCGACGAUCAGUAGCUGGUCUGAGAGGACGAUCAGCCACACUGGGACUGAGACACGGCCCAGACUCCUACGGGAGGCAGCAGUGGGGAAUUUUGGACAAUGGGCGAAAGCCUGAUCCAGCAAUGCCGCGUGUGUGAAGAAGGCCUUCGGGUUGUAAAGCACUUUUGUCCGGAAAGAAAUGGCGCUGGUUAAUACCUGGGGUCGAUGACGGUACCGGAAGAAUAAGGACCGGCUAACUACGUG